rnacentral:lncRNA from 1 species
CUCUUGUUUUCACGACAAAACAUCUCGAGUCGGCAACAACCCAUGUAAGCUAUCAACUAGCAGAACAAAUAGCUAUCAAGCCCUAGAAAGACCGCUCCGAAAGAGUCUCGUGAGGUUAGGCGCCCGUCGGUUCAUGUCCAUCUACCAAGAUGAAGCUUCAUAUAAUGAAGCUCUAUUAAAACUUGCCAAGUCAGAUUUCAAUCUUGUUCAGUCUUUUCACAAACAGGAGCUCAAUGAUAUU